rnacentral:rRNA from 1 species
GUCCCGCCUGCCCGGUGACUGUAAGUUUAACGGCCGCGGUAUUUUGACCGUGCAAAGGUAGCGCAAUCACUUGUCCUUUAAAUGAAGACCUGUAUGAAUGGCACCACGAGGGCUCAACUGUCUCCUUUUUCCUGUCAAUGAAAUUGAUCUCCCCGUGCAGAAGCGGGGAUUUUAACAUAAGACGAGAAGACCCUAUGGAGCUUCAGGCGCCAGAGUAGCCUAUGUUAAGCACCCUCCCACAAAAGACAAAACUAACUAGACCCUACUCCAAUGCCUUUGGUUGGGGCGACCGCGGGGAAACAAAAAACCCCCAUGUGGAUUAAGAGCACACUUUACUCCUACAGCCCAGGGCUACUGCCCUAAGAAACAGAACCUCUGACCAACAAAAGAUCCGGUAUAACCGAUCAGCGGACCGAGUUACCCUAGGGAUAACAGCGCAAUCCCCUUCUAGAGUCCAUAUCGACAAGGGGGUUUACGACCUCGAUGUUGGAUCAGGACAUCCUACUGGUGCAGCCGCUAUUAAGGG